GGCAGCGGCAGGUAUUACCCCUUCCAAACCUGUGGCUCCGAAGCCUACUCCAGUAGCGGCCGCUGCUGCUGCCCCUUCUCCCCCAGCUAAACCUGCUGCUACUCCAUCAGCUCCUCCACUUCCAGGAUCUACGGUAGUACCGUUUACAACAAUGCAAGCGGCAGUGUCAAAAAAUAUGGUGGACAGUCUUUCAGUACCCACUUUUCGGGUUGGAUAUCCAGUGAC
rnacentral:misc_RNA from 1 species